rnacentral:rRNA from 1 species
UACGUAGGGUGCAAGCGUUUGUCCGGAAUUAUUGGGCGUAAAGAGCUCGUAGGCGGUCUGUCGCGUCGGCUGUGAAAACCCGGGGCUCAACCCCGGGCCUGCAGUCGAUACGGGCAGACUAGAGUGCGGUAGGGGAGACUGGAAUUCCUGGUGUAGCGGUGAAAUGCGCAGAUAUCAGGAGGAACACCGGUGGCGAAGGCGGGCCUCUGGGCCGUAACUGACGCUGAGGAGCGAAAGCGUGGGGAGCGAACAGG